GCAUUUGUGGGUGGAUGAGAGGAAACACUCAUUCUCGAUAUUAACUUCGGGGCAAACUGGGGUGUCAUCUUCGUUCUCUUUAGUUUUGACUCCAUUAUGAAACAAGUAACAAUUCAAGUAAAGAGGAUAAAGCAGCCACUAGUAUACAGGCCUGUUACCGAGGAUAUCUAGGACGUAAACUCUAUCUCCAACUCCUUCUCAACAAAUUCAACGAGGAUGAGGAGCAGAGAAGGAGACACAUGUUAAAGCAAGUCGAGGAAGGAGAAUUAUUGCUUGAAAAUCACAGAUUGGAGGUAGAAUUUGAAGACAAUAAGUGUGUUAGGAGGAACAGACUACAGAGAUAUGAGUCAAGGAUAAUCACGUAAGUCUCUAUUUUUCUCACUCUGACAAAGAACCUGGAAACAUUCUAAAAUUUGUAGAUCAGAAAUUAAUGUAAUAAAAACCUGAUAAUAGUAAGGGAAAAUUUGAAUUAGAGAAGGAUGUUUUCUUGUAACUUCUGAAGGUUUCCAUGGCAUACUUGUAGGAGAAGGGUGUAGGGGUUUCAUGGUGCACCAUGUAUUCUUUCAUGGGCUUAUGUCGGUCCUGAAAAGGACCACACAAACUUGAUGUUUUAAGAAAAGUGUUCUUGUCGUCUCCAUCUGACAUUUUCUUAUUCUAUCAAACCUGUCUUAAGGGCCACUUGUCUAUCGUACAAACAUGUCUUUAGUGGCUAAUGAGUCUCAAAGUUGAAAGGAAUAUGUGUAGUAGAACCUGCCUAUAAGGGCCUCCUGUCUCCAGUGGCCACGUUUUCUGUUUCCCUUGGGAAGUGUUAGUAGACAAGUAUGACUGUAGGAGUUGAAAGUGUAGUCAUGAUUUUUGAAAUAUUUUUAAAGGACAUGCAAGUCCACCCCAAUAAAAAGUUGAUUUG